rnacentral:rRNA from 1 species
AACGAACGCUGGCGGCAUGCCUAACACAUGCAAGUCGAACGAGACCUUCGGGUCUCGUGGCGCUCGUGUGCGUAACGCCUGGGAACCUGCCCUUAGGUUCGGUAUAACUCCCCGAAAGGGGUGCUUAUACCGCUUAAUCUCUUCGGGCCCAUGAUGUUUCGCCUUUGGCGGGGCCCGGGUUGGUUUAUCUGUUUGGUAGGGUAAAAGCCUACCAAGGCGUCGUUCCUUAGCUGGUCGGGGAGGAUGAUCAGCCACGAUGGGACUGAGACACGGCCCAGAAUGGUAGGGGAGGCAGCAGAGGGGAAUAUUGGACAAUGGGCGAAAGCCUGAUCCAGCAAUGCCGCGUAAGUGAGGAAGGCCUUAGGGAUGUAAAGCUCUUUUACCCGGGAUGAUAAUGACAGUACCGGGAGAAUAAGCUCCGGCUAACUCCGUG